rnacentral:misc_RNA from 1 species
CCUGAGGUGGACACUCGGCCUAAACCCCCUGUGAACAUACCUGUUUGAUUGCUUACCGUGCCCUCGCUCGCGUGGCGAGUGAACCUGCCAGUACGGACGGCCACAAACUCUUUGAUUGUCAUCUAGGAGUUUACUUCUGAGUGAUAAUAAGUC